UAUAUAUAUAUAAAAUUGUAAGGAUGACAGUCAGGAAAAGAUAAAGAGUAUUUAUUACAGCGUCUUGUCCCGCGCAGGGCACGCGGGUUUGGAGGGGAGCGCGCACCUGUUCUGGCGCAUGCGCAGUAUCGCUGAGGGCGCGACCCGACAGCCGCAGUGAUGCUAGUGUCCCUGUAACGCGCUCCACACACGGAUGGGUUUAGUACCGUCUGCUUCAGCCCCGGGCCUGUGAGCGGAUCCGGUUCAGUCCGGGACGAAGGUGUUUCCUCAGCGCGGAGUAACGGAUCCCGCGACCUUGCGCUGAAUGUCAUUAGAAACGGGUUUCAAUCGCGCUACGACCCUCAGGGUUUGAGUCUCGGUGAUGGAGAUUAUAAAGCACACACUCAGCCACACAGUCGAUCUCUACAGAUGGAGUCUCAGCAUCGCAGGAUAUACUGAAGCCAGUGCAAUGAAAGUGCGUUUGUAGAAUCCAGUAGAAAGCGUGAUGAUGUGUGUGUGUAGACAAGC
rnacentral:lncRNA from 1 species